rnacentral:rRNA from 1 species
UGGGGAAUAUUGCACAAUGGAGGGAACUCUGAUGCAGCGACGCCGCGUGAGUGAUGAAGGAAUUCGUUUCGUAAAACUCUGUUCUAUGGGAAGAUAAUGACGGUACCAUAGGAGGAAGCCCCGGCUAACUACGUGCCAGCAGCCGCGGUAAUACGUAGGGGGCAAGCGUUGUCCGGAAUCACUGGGCGUAAAGGGUUCGCAGGCGGAAAUGCAAGUCAGUUGUGAAAGGCAGAGGCUCAACCUCUGUAAGCAAUUGAAACUGUAUUUCUUGAGAUGUGGAGAGGCAAGUGGAAUUCCUAGUGUAGCGGUGAGAUGCGUAGAUAUUAGGAAGAAUACCGGUGGCGAAGGCGACUUGCUGGACACAAACUGACUCUGAGGAACGAAAGCGUGGGUAGCAAACAGG